AUAACCACUUCAGAAAUUCAAUUCAUGCUGUCCUAUCAGUAAGACUAUGUGGUCUAGAAAGAGACAUCUUGAUUCAUAAACUCCUUUCUCUACCAUAUAACAGAUUCUCUUUCAUUAGUUUAUCUUCAUGCACAUCUCCAAGACAUUUUCUAUGAAUUUAGUUUUAUCCUUGAAGGUUCUGUAAUGUGUUGUAUUUAUUCUUUUGAUUUUAUUCUUGUGAUACUAUAUUUAAUUUAAUAUUCUCAUACCAAACAGCACAUAGGGGCCAUCAGCAUAGAACAAAUACACAUAAAAUUGUUACCAAAUGUUCUUAGUAUAUAUUUUUCAAUGGAAGAAAAACAAAACAUAUCCAUAGUAUGACUUUUCAACAUAGCCACUUAAUUACUUAACAAACAUUGAAUAAUAAAAUGCAAAUGAAUUUCUUCAACAUCUUUGAAUUCUUCUAUCUGCAAGACACAGAAGCUUUUCAGAGAGUGGGUGGUCUAAGAAAUUGCCUUUUGUUCAACAUAUUUUCUUGAGUCGUGAAUAAGCCUGUGUUUUACUAAAUGAAUCAGUGCAGCAGUGAUAUAUCAUCAGACAAUUCACAAGGCAAAUCAGUAGGGAUGAGGGGAGAAAACAUGAAUGAGCAUCUUUUUGUAAAAGAUCGACUAUUGAAAGUAGGGGCUACUGGUAAUGAGCUCCAGACACACUGCUAUAGGAGCGAUAAGAACAGGAAAUGCUUUGGGCAACACUGUUCUGCAAAAAUAGCCCUUUUAAAAUGCAACAUGGCUGGCCUGUCUUUAGCAGCAUAGCUGUUGAAAGGAUUACAUUAAAUGAAUUGUACAAUAGAUGACUCUUGACAGGCUGGCUCCUCCUUGUUUCAGAUUCUAUGUUAUGGAUCAUGUUUAGCUCUGGGACUGAAACAGCAGAGUCUUUCAACAGAUAACAUGAAGAAGUUCAGCUAAUCUUCUCUGUGGCUCCCUGUUAUCUAGCAUUAAUGAAAAGAUUAAGAAUAUCAGCUUAUUUUCAUUUGACGGGAAGGACUCUGAGUAUUUCUUUUCAGCCAUGAAAAGAGAGUCUGACACAAUCUGGGAAAGCGCUGGCAUUUAAACAACUGUUCUUCGCAACCCAGACGGUUAUAUAAGAUUCACUGGGUGCCAUUGCCAAUUUACUGAAAGCAAUUUUUUGAUAUUGCACAUCAUUUCAGUGAUGUUGUAAAGACACUGAAAACUGGAAUAUUUGCUACCUUUUGUUCUAAAGACUUUAUUAGUUUGGGAACAUCAGAUUCCAAACAAUGCAAUUAUUCAUCAUUAAUUUUUUUUCCACUCUUCCCUCUGGAAUAAACUCUAUUUCAGGUCAAGCUUGUUGGGAAAUUUCAAUGCGAGACAGAGCAAUCAGACAACAAACAAAAGCAGAAGUUUGGUUGUCAUGGAUGUAUUUUUAAUGCACGUUCCAGGAUCCUUGCUCGUCUGAAGGUGUGCAGCUUGCUGAAGAAAAUUACGUAAAUCUUGCAGUAAAUAGCAUUAUGGAAACAUGGAAAAGAUUAUCUGUGGAAGUUCCAAACAUUUAAAAAUAUGAAGUAUAUGUUCUUAUCUAACAAAUGGGAUGCAUGAGAGACAAAGAGCUGAUAUGGCUGAGGUAAGGUCAUUUUUCAUAUGCCAUUUGAAGCCUGUGGGAAGCAAGACAUAAAUUGAAGGGGUACAUAUUUUAUUUUUUUGGAAUUCAGAAACCCAUUGACUUGAAGGUGUCCAAGUCCUUAUAAGACAUUUUAGAUCAAUUGAAAAACUAUUUAAUGGAUAUCUAUAAGAUAUGUUGCAUACUCUUGGGAAAUUUUUAAACUCCUUGGGAAGACAGAAUUUCCAGACACCAUUAGGAAACAGAUAGAAGUGACCAAUCCAUUAAUAGUACAGUCUAGCAAACUAUUCUUGUUUUCUGACUUGAGGCUUUGUCUUGUGGUCCUAAGCAAAGUGUACAUUCUCGCUUCUGUUAAUGUGAAAAUAGGAUGAAGCUUAGCACUUCCCAUCCUAUUUUUUUCUUUUUUUUUUCUUUUUUAAAAUCUUUUCAGAAUAGACUACUGCCCCUAAUUAUAACUGUCUGGUACCAGUUUGGAUUUUUUAGCAUGUCCCUUCUUUUACUUAAGGCUAGAUAUAUCUUAUAUGCCUUUUAUCAGGUUGUAAGCCCUGGUUUGAUGUGUCAGAUGCUCAGGGAUAUCUAAAAUUAUGCCAUAUGCCUACAUUCAAGCACUUAAUUCUUUUUGAUGUAUUUGGUGAUCUAGGACUAGAAGGAAAUUGUUAAUCAUAGCUCUGCAGAAACUGAAGACUUGGUCUUUGUAACAAUGGUCAGCAUUUUGAACCGUGUUUUCUAAAGCCCAAUAGUAGGAAUUGAAAGACACCAAAGAGAAUUUAACAGUCCUUCUUGUGUUUUGAGCUUAAGUUUUGAGUGGAACAGAACACAAACUAGAAAUGCAGUUAAAAAAAAAGCCAAACAUUUUUUCUCUAAUCUGACUGUUAAUAAAAAAGAAAAAAAGGAAGUCAUUUUCUUCCCUAGAAUCAAUAAUCUAUUAUUCUGAUGAAAAUUGUAUUCAGCUACCAGCCAGUUGCAAUAAUUGCGGAAUCUGCUAUGUAGUUUUCUACUAAUUAGUGAAUAAUACUCCAUAAAAGCAAUCGCGUGUGAACUCUUUCCUUUAAAAACAUAACCCUUGGGAGUUGACUUCCUUACUCUCCUUUGAAAAUUCCAUCCCUGGUAUUUAUUAUUAUAUUAGUAAGCAGCUAUUAUUCAGAAUUUGUUACUGGUUAAUUGCAUUAAUUGGAGAAGGCAGAUAGGGAGGAAGCCUCAUGACUGAUUAAUUACAGUAAAUAGUAUGCAUGUAUAGUUAAUGAUGGGGAUGCAGUGACUUCUGCAAGAAACUCCACUUAGUAGAUACAGAGGGUCCAGAAAUAGGUAUUUUCUUCUUCUGAAGACACAUACCCUGUUGGAAGAACUUCUCAUUUUUCACAUGGUUGCACUUGCAUUUUGUCUGAGGCUGUUCACUGUGAAAUCAUAGAAUCAUAGAAUGGUUUGGGUUGGAAAGGACCUUUGCAGAUAAUCUUAUGCCUCCUUCUCUGCCAAGGGCAGGGACGGCUUCCACAAAAUCAAGUUGCCCAGAGCCCCACCCAUUGUGGCUUUGAACACCUCCAGGGAUGGGUCAAUCCACAGCUUCUCUGGGCAACUUGUUCCAGUGCCUCUCCACACUCUGAGUAAGGAAUUUCUUCCUGAUGUCUAAUCUAAAUCUGUCCUCGUUGAGUUUAAGAUUGUUACCCCCCCUCACUAUCGCUACACUCCCUAAUAAAGAAUUCUUCCCCAUCUUUCAUGUAGGUUCUCUUUAAGUACUGGAAGGUUAGUAUAAGGUCUCCUGAGAGCCUUCUCUAGCAUGAACAACUCCAAUUCUCUCAGUCUGUCUUCAUUUAAGAGGCACUCUAGCCCUGUGAUAAUCUCUGUAUCUCUGUUCUGGAAGUGCUCAAACAGCUCCAUAUUUUUCUUGUGAGAAGAAAGAUCUGGGGUCCCAGCACUGCUCGUGGGUUCUCACAUAGAUUGUGAAUCCUGUCCCUCAAGCUGCUGCUCAUGCUUCUUUGGAUGCAGUCUAGAAUAGCACUGGCUUUCUAGGCUAUAAGUAUAUGUUGCCAGUCAUAUCCAAUUUUUCAUCUACCAACACCUCCAAGUCCCUCUCCUCAAGGUUACUCUCAAUCUUUCUAUUGCUGAGCAUGUGUUCAUGAUUGAGAUUGCCCCAACCCAUGUGUAGGACCUUGCACUUGGCCUCAGUGAACACCCUGAUAUUUGCUUGGACCUGCUCUCAAGGCUGUCCUGGGCCCUCUGGAUGGCAUCCCUUCCCUCCAUGUGAUGAUAACUCCACAGUCUUGCUGAGGAUAUAGUCAGUCUCACUGUCUAUGUCACUGACAAAGAUGUUAAAUAAUAUGCAUCUCAGUAUGGACCUCACUGGUCUGUCUGGACAUCAAACUGUUAAAAAAAAAAAAAAGCCCUACAUGACUGGGACAACAUGGCUUAUAAAUCCAUCAUUGCUCUGAGCUUGUCACAACAACUGAAAAUAUCAGACUUAUACUCAGAAUCUUGUUAGGUACAGAAUGAAACAGCAGUGUGUAUAUGACACAGACAUUUAUUGGAGUAAUGGCUUUUCUCUCCCUAAACAAAUACAAAUGCUUAGAACUACAAGGAAUUGAAGUAUGGCAAAUAAAUUCAGCCUGUUCAGGAGAACUUGAAAUGACUUAAAAAAAGGCUGCUGAGUUGCAAAUGACACAACAAAUGGGUGCAAGUUCACAUUACACACUUUCUGAAUAUGCUUCAAUGUUGUUGUUCCAAAUGCCUGCUUAGAUGUUUUUUUUGAUUGUUCUAGGCAAUUUAUCUUGGCUUAAGACUGUGAUCUAAGUGGAAAUGAUAAAAGAGACAUUGUCACAAUGGAGUCAGUGGCUCUGAGUCAUACCUCCUACAUAAUCAUUUCUCUCUUUUACUGGACCUGCUAAUAUUAAGGAUGCUUUUGAGUGUCUCUUCUCUGUUACUGAGAUAUUUACUGUGCCCUGUGGUAAGCAUUUUCAUGGAACAGAGAGUCUGAGUAAAUGGUCUCUCUAAAGGACUGAACUGUGGUGACUGGAGAUAACAUAUAAGUAAAGUAAUUUCUAUCUGCCAAUUGAAGUAUUCUUGCAACCC
ensembl:lncRNA